CUGCUCCCUUCGGUACCACAUAUACGGAAACUGGAAGGAGACAGAGAAGAUUGGCCUGGCCCCUCGCAAGGAUGGCAGGCAAAUUCAUGAAGAAGUCCAUAUUUUA
ensembl:snRNA U6 U6 spliceosomal RNA